AGUGAUGCAUGAAGGUUACCUUUGACUAACUUUUGUAAUACUCUCCAUGUAGUCAUUGCAAGUCAUUGGUUUUUAGUGGCCAUUUGUCAUUGCAGGGUUUUUAGUGGCCAUUUGUCAUUGCAGGGUUUUUAGUGGCCAUUUGUCAUUGCAGGGUUUUUAGUGGCCAUUUGUCAUUGCAGGGUUUUUAGUGGCCAUUUGUCAUUGCAGGGGUUUUAGUGGCCAUUUGUCAUUGCA